rnacentral:rRNA from 1 species
AGCGAACGCUGGCGGCAGGCUUAACACAUGCAAGUCGAGCGCCCCGCAAGGGGAGCGGCAGACGGGUGAGUAACACGUGGGAACGUGCCUUUUGGUUCGGAACAACCCAGGGAAACUUGGGCUAAUACCGGAUAAGCCCUUACGGGGAAAGAUUUAUCGCCAAAAGAUCGGCCCGCGUCUGAUUAGCUAGUUGGUGGGGUAAUGGCCCACCAAGGCUACGAUCAGUAGCUGGUCUGAGAGGAUGAUCAGCCACAUUGGGACUGAGACACGGCCCAAACUCCUACGGGAGGCAGCAGUGGGGAAUAUUGGACAAUGGGGGCAACCCUAAUCCAGCCAUGCCGCGUGAGUGAUGAAGGCCUUAGGGUUGUAAAGCUCUUUUAGCAGGGAAGAUAAUGACGGUACCUGCAGAAAAAGCCCCGGCUAACUUCGUGCCAGCAGCCGCGGUAAUAC